rnacentral:rRNA from 1 species
AGAGUUUGAUUCUGGCUCAGAACGUACGCUGGCGGCACGCCUAACACAUGCAAGUCGAACGAAGUAGCAAUACUUAGUGGCAGACGGGUGAGUAACAUGUAGGUAUCUGCCCUUUGGCCUGGAAUAACACGAGGAAACUUGUGCUAAUACCGGAUAAGUCUUUACGGAGAAAGCUUUAUGCACCAUUGGAUGAGCCUGCACUUGAUUAGUUUGUUGGUGGGGUAAUGGCCUACCAAGACUGUGAUCAAUAGCUGAUUUGAGAGGAUGAUCAGCCACAUUGGGACUGAGACACGGCCCAAACUCCUACGGGAGGCAGCAGUGGGGAAUCUUGCACAAUGGAGGAAACUCUGAUGCAGCGAUGCCGCGUGAGUGAAGAAGGCCCUUGGGUUGUAAAGCUCUUUCGUCGGGGAAGAAAAUGACUGUACCCGAAUAAGAAGGUCCGGCUAACUUCGUGCCAGCAGCCGCGGUAAUACGAAGGGACCUAGCGUAGUUCGGAAUUACUGGGCUUAAAGAGUUCGUAGGUGGUUGAAAAAGUUAGUGGUGAAAUCCCAGAGCUUAACUCUGGAACUGCCAUUAAAACUUUUCAGCUAGAGUAUGAUAGAGGAAAGCAGAAUUUCUAGUGUAGAGGUGAAAUUCGUAGAUAUUAGAAAGAAUACCAAUUGCGAAGGCAGCUUUCUGGAUCAUUACUGACACUGAGGAACGAAAGCAUGGGUAGCGAAGAGGAUUAGAUACCCUCGUAGUCCAUGCCGUAAACGAUGUGUGUUAGACGUUGGAAAUUUAUUUUCAGUGUCGCAGGGAAACCGAUAAACACACCGCCUGGGGAGUACGACCGCAAGGUUAAAACUCAAAUGAAUUGACGGGGACCCGCACAAGUAGUGGAGCAUGUGGUUUAAUUCGAAGAUACGCGCAGAACCUUACCAACACUUGACAUGUUCGUCGCGACUCUAAGAGAUUAGAGUUUUCGGUUCGGCCGGACGAAACACAGGUGCUGCAUGGCUGUCGUCAGCUCGUGUCGUGAGAUGUUGGGUUAAGUCCCGCAACGAGCGCAACCCUCACUUUUAGUUGCCAUCAUUAAGUUGGGCACUCUGAAAGAACUGCCAGUGAUAAGCUGGAGGAAGGUGGGGAUGACGUCAAGUCCUCAUGGCCCUUACGUGUUGGGCUACACACGUGCUACAAUGGUAUCUACAACAGGAAGCAAGACUGCGAAGUUAAGCAAAUCCCUAAAAGAUACCUCAGUUCGGAUUGCACUCUGCAACUCGAGUGCAUGAAGCUGGAAUUACUAGUAAUCGUGGAUCAGCGUGCCACGGUGAAUGCGUUCCCGGGUCUUGUACACACCGCCCGUCACACCAUGGGAGUUGGUUCUACCUUAAGGCAAGGUUUCAAACCCUUGACCACGGUAUAGUCAGCGACUGGGGUGAAGUCGUAACAAGGUA